UACAGAGGUUGCGAGCGUUAAUCGGAAUUACUGGGCGUAAAGCGCGCGUAGGCGGCUUUGUAAGUCGGUUGUGAAAUCCCCGGGCUUAACCUGGGAACUGCAUCCGAGACUGCAUAGCUAGAGUAUGGGAGAGGGAAGUGGAAUUUCAGGUGUAGCGGUGAAAUGCGCAGAUAUCAGGAAGAACACCAAUGGCGAAGGCAGCUCUCUGGGACGGUACUGACGCUGAGACGCGAAAGCGUGGGGAGCGAACAGG
rnacentral:rRNA from 1 species